CCACGCGGCAGCCGCGGGUUCAGCAUCAGCGGCAGCGUGGUGGUCGGGCCCUGCGCCGUGCUGCCCCGCGCCAUCCUCCAGUGGAACGUGAGUGCGGGAGCGGGCAGGGCGCGGGGAUGCGCUGGGGGCCGGGCCGCCCCGCUGAGCGCCGCGCUGUGCCCGCAGGUCGGAUCGCAUCGCGACAUCUCGCUGCAGAGCCUGGCGCUGUUCCGUCUGCUGGAGCCGCGGAUCGAGAUCCUGGUGCUGGGCACGGGGGACAGAGUGGAGCAGCUGCAUCCCAGCGUGCUGAGGCAGAUGCGGCUGUGCGGGAUUGCCGUGGAGGUGCAGGACACGCCCAACGCGUGUGCCACUUUCAACUUCCUGACAAGCGAGAAGCGUCUGACGGCCGCCGGCCUCAUCCCCCCGCAGGGCACCUACACGGGGCUCCCGGCCCUGCCCUCAGCCACGAACUGCUCCCCCCCGCGGCGCCGGGCCUGCCCCGCGCCGAGCGCCGCUGCGGCAGGCGAAGAAAUGCUGCAGGAUGGGCAGUCGGAGCCCAGCUGCUGGUUCAGUGCUGCCUCUCGGUUGCAGAGUGCUUUACGGCCCUGCUUGGGGGCUGCACAAGGAGAAUACACAUAAAACAGAAGUACAAAGCAAUCACGGAGUGGUUAACGCUCAGCAAAGGUGGGCUGUGAUGAGCUAUUAGGCUUGGUGUGUUCACCACCCUGCAGGGCUGGCCAGGGGCUGUGGAUCAAGGGCAGCAGCUCCUUGGGUUGGGCGUGAGGCGUCAGGGCUGCCUCCUGGCAGCAGCACCUUGCUUGCCCCAGGCUCUCCUCUGGGGUUUGUGGCUCCCUGCUGAGCCCAGAGCUGCUGCAGGAUGCUGUGGUGCUUCCCCUCCUCCCUGCGGGUGAAUGAGUGCUUGGCUGCCAUGUAAUUCCAGGUUCUGGUUUUAGCAUAUGCAAAUCUAAUUCGACAUCACCG
rnacentral:lncRNA from 1 species